UCUCUGCCGCCCAGUUACAAAAAGUGGCAACUUCCCCUCCGGCCCGCAGACUGAUCGCUCAUUUGAAUGCGUUUCCUUUUCAUUAAGAACAAAGGUUGGAGUCCGAGCCUCGCGGCGCGGCGGCCGGAAAGUACAAGAUGUGUGUCGAGAGCAAACACACACACACACACACACACAGAAUGACCCACGAGAAAGGGAAAGGGGAAAACACCAAUCCUGCGCUGGGCUUUUUCGACUUUUCCUUUAAAAAGAAAAAAGUUUUUCAAGCUGUAGGUUCCAAGAACCGGCAGGAGGGGGGCGAGGCGGGGUGGGGGGGUGUACAGAAAAGGCGCCUGGUCGGUUAUGAGUCACAAGUGGGUUAUAAAAGGGUCGCACGUUCGCAGGCGCGGGCUUCCUGUGCGCGGCUGAGCCGGGGCGCAGCGCGACGGUCCCAUCGGGCGGCCUCCACCCUCGGGACGCGAGCGGAGCGCCGAGCCCAGCGGCGAUCACGCGACGCGGGGAAGGAAGGAAGAUCUCUCCUUUCAAAGAUAACUAGCCAAAUGAACAUAAUAAACAAGUCCAAGCAGUUGGAGGGGCGGCCGCCACCCCACCAUCUCCAAAUAACUGAUUCGCAUUUCCGAGACGGUUCACCUGAAGCCUUGCCUGCCACCUUGGUUCUCCCACCUGAAGGAGAUGGUUCUAACGGUGGCGCAAACCAGGAAGGGGAAAUCUGUGGUUUACGUUCUCUGUGCCUCAUCCCUCUCGGAGAGCUGGAGGCUUGCUGGAGGCUAUAUGCUGUUAAUGCUAAUUGUGAUAGGGGUUUUUACCUCCGUCUGACUCCUACAUGUUAGCAUUAACAGGGUAUGAUGCCUGUUACUAGCAUUCACAUGGAACAAACUGCUGCUGUGGGAGGAUGACAAAGAAGUGUGAGUCACCCUGCUGGAUAAACUCAGACUUUAAGCUUUAUUAUUUUUUGUUAAUCAUAAUCUGGUCACUGGGAUGUUCCACCUGAUAGUAAGUCUUAAGAAUAAGGUCUUGUAAAAGAUUUAUCAAUGGUAUCCUGAAAGCAAACUUUUUUACUUUAAUCCUGAAGCCCACAUAUUUUUAAAAAAAAAUCUUUAAUGGAAAAUGUAUUCCUGUCCUUUUUAAUUCACAGUUAUGGUUUGUUCAUUAUAACUGUUUAUAAACACUUUGAAUAAUUUAACUAGAAAGAAAUAUAAACACAUUCUGAGUAUCUUUGCAGUUAAAAAUUAGGACUACUAUCCACUAAUUAAUCAUGGAUUGUUGGGAAAUAUGUUUAAAAAGAUUUAGAAAUUGGUAUUUCCCCCAUGUAACAAUUCUAUUUAGACAACUUCAGUUUCAAAUGGAUACUUUUAUAUGAAUCUUAAAGUAGACUUGAAAGGCUAUGGCAAUUAGUUUUUAAAAAAUGAAAGAUUUCAUUCUUUUUUAUGGCUGAGUAGUAUUCCAUUGCAUAUAUAUACCACAUAUCCUUAAUCCACCCAUUCGUCUGUCGCUGGACAUUUAGGCUGUUUCCAUUUGCAGCAACAUGGAUGCAAAUAGAGAUUCUCAUACUAAAUGAAGUUAAGUCAGAAAGAUAAAGACAAAUUCCAUAUGAUAUCAGUUAUAUGUGGACUCAAAAAUAUGGCACAAAUGAACCUAUCUACAAAACAGAAACAGACCCACAGACAUAGAGAAUAGACUUGUGGUUGCCAAGGGGGGAGGGAAGAGGGAGUGGGAUGGAUGGGCAGUUUGGGGUUAGUAGAUACAGACUAUUACAUUUAGAUUAGAUGGGCAAUGAGGUCCUACUAUUCAGCACGGGGAACUAUAUCCAGUCUCUUGGGAUAGACCAUGAUGGAAGAUAAUAUAAGACAAGGAAUGAAUAUAUACAUAUGACUGGGUCACCUUGCUGCAAUAGCAGAACUUGCCACAACGUUGUACAUCAACUAUACGUUAAUAAAAAAAUCAAAAAGAUUUUUUAAAAUUAGUACAGUUAAUGACAUGUGAGAACCAAUCCAUCUUUUCCCUACAAGAUAACAAAGAUUUGAUCAAAAAAAAUCUCUUAUUUGAAAUUAAGUCCCAAAACUAUGUUCAAAUUCAAUAGCUUAGCUGUUAGGUCAGAAAAUCCACCUCUCCUCUUCUCAGCUUGUUUAUUAUCCCACAGAAUGGGCUAAUACUUAACAGAGUUGGUAUGAGGCUUACGUGAGAUGGAGAACUAUUUUGUAAAAUAUGAAGUAUCAAUGUUAAUAUAUUAAUAAUAUAUUAACGUUAUAGUCAAAUUAAUCCCCCCUCUUUGUUAGAGAAAAACUAAUGAUUUGAUCCACAGAAUUUUUCAGGUCUGGAUUUCUAUGCCAUUUUUCUCCAGAGUUAUAGAACUGUACCACUUACAAAUACAUAGCUAAUUGUAAUCAGCAUCUUUAAUGUGUGUUUGUGUUAGUAACUCUUCUCAAUGUUUUGUCAAACAAGUUAUGUGCACUGAAACCAAAUAAAUCACUUGAGUGGUUGAUUUAAAAUAAUUUUUUGUUAUGGCCUUUUUUCUUUUGCAUCAUACAAAUUAUAAUUUCAGAAGUUAUUUACACACACACACACACACACAAAGACAAUGGGAAAAAAUUAUGAGACCUCUAAGGGGAACAUUCCUGACUCUUAGGACACAGUAUUCUCAUGUGGGGGCAUCCCCCCCUGGCCUAUCCCCCAUCUCUGUUCAGGUGGUCUGUGCUGCCAAAAUAAAUUCCCCCUCUUGAUCCUGGAAGGAACACGUGGCUCCAGAGAGCCUCCAUGUAGGUACAUCACAAUAAGGCAUGUUUCCUGGGACUAUUCAUUUCAUCUGCACUGCUUGUCUUCUAGAGGAGUCCUUACUCUGAGUCCCAGUUCUUCCACACCCUGCUUGCGGCACCUACAGCCACGGAGUCUCAGUGUGUUAGCCCUGGAAUACGCUAAUCCAGUAUUACCUUCCUGCUGUUACAAUGAAAAGCUAUGUACAUCGAAAAGGCAGAUUAAGAAAAACUGCUGUGAAAUGAUUUGUUUGAAGAGCGACAGACCACUCUAUAUGAAACUAAAGGGAGUUUUACUUAAUCUAAGUCUCAGUUUCUUCAUCAGUAAAACAAUGAAUGUAUUUCAUAAGGAUGGCAGGCUGAAAUGAAAACAGUAUUUCUGAAAAGCAUGGUGUCUGCUCUGCAGUAAGUGUUAAGUAAACACUAGCUUUAAAAGUUUUAAAUUUCUAAAUCAAGUGACCUACCCUACCCUAGCAGAUCUCUCCAAGGACACAGCAGCUCCAAUCUAACCAUAAUCCCAGGAUGACAAUCCAGGGAACCUGAAUAAUGCCACUGUCACUGGGUUUUCUCUUAGCCCAACUCUCUUAGGCCUCUAGUGCCUGACCUCAUGGUCUUAGACGGAGUCCUCCUGACCAAUAUAUUUAGUCAUUUCAAACAUUCUUGGAACAUGAGUAAGACUGGGGGUGUGUUUGGGUUGGAGGAAGAGGUAAGUGGCAAGGAAGUGAGUGUGUGUGUUGAAGUGACAAACUAAGAGUGGCUAAAGGGAACGUGGGCUCUGGGAUAGAUGGUGAAGGGAAAAGGACCUCAGUUUGGUACACAGAAUAACAGAACUGUGUGAAGCACUACAUUAUGCAGGACCUGAUUUAUUUAAUUACAAAAAAAAAACCCUGAAGAAUGAGGGUUGUCUAGGAUCUGACUCACUUCCCCAGAAAGUUGUUACAGUAGAGAUCAGGCUUUUCUUCUUCACUGUCACCAGCUGGAUAGACCCAGAAACUUAAAACAAAGGGGGAAAAAAGAGAAGAAUAAGGAAAAAAGUGAAAUGAGGAGAAUAAGGAACUUAUAUAAAACUGGAGUAUUAGAAUUUUUCCAAAAAUGGAGAUGACCAGGACUUUGUUCGAAGGUUAGGAAACUUGAAGAAUAAAAAAAGCUUGAAGGAAAUAGAGAGCCCAUAAAUGCGAAGCACUCAAAAAAGGCUGACCCAUUAUGUGGUUCUCCAGAAAACUGAAACGAAUAGAUGAAAUCUGCAUGUAACAGUUCAGCUUUCCACUUAGGAUUUCAUAUUUUGUCAUAUGCAAUACGGAGAAGGAAAUAAUGCACACGUAAAAGAUUUGUUGUUGUUGUUGUUACUAUUGUGUUUUAACUAAUCUAAGAGUUCCAGUAUUAGUCUUCAACCAGCUAACACAUACACAUCCCUAACCACUUAAGUAAUGAUUUUUCUAGGUGGAUUUCUCAAAUGUCAUUCCAUGCCAACGAUGUCUUCCCUAGGUUGGAUCACUCUUCCACCCUUCUUUGCACAGCUCAGCGAUUUCUCGGGUCACUAGCAUUUAACACACUGUAUCCCACUUUGUUUUCAUAUGGGAAUGACUGAACUAGAGCAGGUGGUACCCUAGGGCCCAUCCACCUUUUCGCCUACCCAUAUCCUGCUCACUGUUCACCAACUUAAUCACCAUUAUCAUUCCAAGGCGAAACCUAAAAACAGAACUCGGCUUAAAUAUACCAUGACCCAGGAACUUCCACAUGGCACAAGCUGGGCCAAAUAGAUAAAUAAAUAAUGAUGAAUACAGUGAACAUUUCACUUUAUACUGACAGGUUCAAAGAGAUGAUCUGGAGGAUAUAAAAGUUCAUUACAGCAAAUAAAUGACUGGAACAUGCUACAUAUAAAUGAUGAGCUAGGGCUGCAAUUAUCUCCUCAGAAACCUGUCAAGGUGCAGGCUCCCAGGCUCCCACCCCCAAGAUUCUGAUUCUGCAAUGAGGCUGAGGAAAGUACCUUUUUACCAAG
rnacentral:lncRNA from 1 species